AUGUACAUUACAGUUUCAAAUCCAUAUUAUUAUGUACUAAUCUAUUUUGAAAGAAAAGUACUUGUACAUCAGCCAUAUAUUUUUUUUUUGAUCAGUAAUAAAUCCUGUCUUUACAAUGGAUUAGUUCUGAAACAGUCCAUAUUCAACUUUUUGUUUGUUUUUUCUUAUAAAUUUUAUACAUGUAUGUUGUUAUUUUGAUGUCAAAACUCAAUAAAUGAAG
rnacentral:sRNA from 1 species